GAUGAAGAACGCAGCGAAAUGCGAUAAGUAAUGUGAAUUGCAGAAUUCAGUGAAUCAUCGAAUCUUUGAACGCACAUUGCGGCCAUAGGUAUUCCUUUGGCCAUGCCUGUUCGAGCGUCAUUUACACCCUCAAGCCUAGCUUGGUGUUGGGCGUCUGUCCCGCCGUUUUCGCGCGCGGACUCGCCUCAAAGUCAUUGGCGGCGGUCGUGCCGGCCCCCUCGCGCAGCACAUUUGCGCUUCUCGGAGGCCCGGCGGAUCCGCGCUCCAGCAAGACCUUUCACGACUUGACCUCGGAUCAGGUAGGGAUACCCGCUGAACUUAAGCAUAUCAAUAAGCGGAGGA
rnacentral:misc_RNA from 1 species